GCAGGCAGCAGGCGGCAUACACGCAGUCGGAAGUAAUUUUUAUUUUAUAUAAAUUGAGCAAAAAACCAAGCCGAACCAAACGAAUCGAGAGGAGAGGAAAUUGCUGGUCGUUUCAUAAAACUUAAUGAAUGCGAACUGCAAUUGCAGUUGGGCCAGACUGGGGGAAGUAAAUUGAGCGUAUGAUAUACGUUUGGUAAUUCACGGGACUGACUGUCUAAGUAUAACAGCAUGCCCAACUUUCUAACAAAAUGCCAGAAAUCAACGAAAGGCAGAGGAGCACGGUUCGGCAGGCGCUAUAAUCCGGAUUGCCGGCGAGGUGGAACUUGUCAAAUUACACAAACUGCCAGCCAUUUUCCAACUCCCAACUCCCGUCGACUGCUACUUGUCUGUCUGUCAGCAGUCUAUUAAUAUUCCAUAAUGAAAUUUUAUGUUAAUUCUACGCAUCAUUGCGUGUAAUCAAAUCGAAAUAAAUAAUUAAAUCCAUUUCAA